rnacentral:misc_RNA from 1 species
UUAAGACUAUGACAUACAUUACCAUAAGGAUGCUAAGUGCACAAACCAGUAAAAAUUUGGCCAAAAUUAGGUCCCAGUAAUUUCGUUAUUACAUAAAUUAACUUCAAUUAUUUGUAAGUGACAAAUUGAAAUUUCAUGAUAAUUUUGCAAAUUAGUGAAUAUUCCAACGAGUGAAAUUAACCCAAUGACCUAUUAUUCCUCACUUCCAUCUAGCUCCAAAACCCUUCCAAACUAAUCAAUGAUCACAUCAAGAAAACCAAAACUCGCAUAAUCAUUAGCUUUGGAUUUUGAAGUUGCAAAAUUCAAGCUAAUGCAAUUCUGAAACCCAUACAAAAUGAUGACCAAGAAUUAUUUGAUUAUAUGUCAAAAACCAACAUCAGAUUAAUAUAGCUGCAUGAAAGGAAAAGAGCAUUUUGUUAUUGGACCUUGCUCAAAGGGACAACGAGCUG